rnacentral:RNase_P_RNA from 2 species
CCAGAGGGUCGGGCGGCCGCGGCGCGUGAGGCGUCGAGGAAAGUCCGGGCUCCACGGAGAGACGGUGCCGGGUAACGCCCGGCGGGGGCGACCCCAGGGACAGUGCCACAGAGAGCAGACCGCCGCUCCCCGGAGCGGUGAGGGUGAAAGGGUGCGGUAAGAGCGCACCGCGCGGCCGGCAACGGGCGCGGCACGGCAAACCCCACCGGGAGCAAGACCGAAUAGGGGCGGCACGGCCCAGGAAACUGGUGCCAGGGCUUCUCCGGCCCGCUGCCCGGGUUGGUUGCUGGAGCCGGCGCGCGAGCGCCGGCCAAGAGGAAUGGUCGCCCAGCCCUUAACGGGGCGGACAGAACCCGGCUUACAGACCCUCUGGCGCC